rnacentral:lncRNA from 1 species
AUUGAACCCGCAACCUCAUGGUUCCUAGUGGGGUUCGUUAACCACUGUGCCAUGGCGGGAACUCCCCUUGGGUGUUGUAAUAUUUUAAAAUCUGUCUAGCUUUUAAAAAUUAUAACUGUGUUAAAAAUGUUGUAGCUGUACUCAUAAAAGUCUAAAUUUGGAACUUCUGGUUGUAAAUCCUACAUAUUACCUGUCCUAUGUGAGAAACGCAUCUUUGUGAACUUUUGCUUCAUCUUUUAGGUAAAUGAUUAGAACAUGCUUUGCUUCUCCUGUCUUGCAGGGAGACUGACUGUGACCCUGACUGUGAAAUCUGUGUUCCUGAUAGAAUUAUAUAGAUACAAUCUUCUACUAAUAGCAGCACUUUGGCUUAGUGGUGGCUGGAUCUGUAUUAAUAUUUUGGGUCUUAAUUGGUGACUGGAUCGACAGGAAACCAAAAAAGAAAGGUAUCUGGUCCUUCGACCUCACCGUGACCCAGUUUCUUCAGGAGAACAUUCCAGAAGCAGAGCAAGGGGCUGCGAACGGUGUGCAAUGCUUCCUGAACCACCUCAUGGCCCUCCAUCCACUUCGUCUGGGUCAUGCUGGCUCUGCGGCCAUGGCAUUUCAGCGUCUCGUCUUCAUCUUCAUCCUAUUUGUAACCAUGGGGCACAUGCUGUAUUUUUUUUUUUUUAAUGCAAGAAAGUGUAAGAUUAGAAACGCCCAUGUUCAGAAGACAGCAAAGAAGGGAGCUUUAACCUGACAGGUAGGCAGCCCCUCUCACCACUCAGAGCCCUAACUGGCCCUCACUCACACUGUUUGCAGUGAUUUCCCAAAGUUGCUGCUGGCUGCCUACCUCAUUCUGCUACUACAUUGGAGAGUGAUUCUGUCAUUCACCACCUUUGCCAGUAGCACCAACUGCGUUAAAGACAUCUUUGCGGCGAUGGCUACUAGCUGGAGUUUGAAAUGGGGCUGACGCAUGGCACGCCCAUUAUCUGAACUCAGAUUCUGCUCCAGACGACUUGAAGGGGUUUGUUUUAAUUUUGUCAGCAUAAUUCAAUGUUUUCAGGAUUUUAAAAAUUCGUUCUUUGGGUUCUAAAAUUACUAAAGAUCUUUGGUCAAUGUUAAAAUUAGAGUUGGAUCAUGGCCAGUGAUGUUUGGUCUCAGUCCUUUGGGUUUUUGUUCUAUGAAUGUUCUUUUGACAGUCUCUGUGCCCCUCAUAAGGACUGAAGCUCUUUGUUGACGUAAAUUAUGGUAACAGCCUUUGGGUGGUUUCUAGACUCUAGAACAGGCAAGGGAUGUCUCCUGCGGAGGUGGGUGCAGGCGCAGGUGCCAUCUGCAGGGGAGCUGGAUCCUGGCCCAGCCCUGGGUCUCAGGCAA